AAUAGGUUGUAACAUAGUGAAUAUAAAUUGGACAAAGCAUUGUGAGAGUGACAAAUUUAUUGUUGUUUCAACAGGCCCAUAAAAUAAACUCAGAAUCAGAAUAAAACAUGUCUAAUUUCACAUUACAGGCCCAAGCCCAACGACUCAUCCUCUCCAUUACAUGAUUUGUCGACAAACAGAGUUCCCAAUCUGAGAAACACUAUCAUCAAUUUUCACCGUCAAAAUCUAUCUGAUGCAAAUCGGAAUUGUGUGUUUUAUGUCAAACUCGAUAAUUGAGUUGAUCAUCACGACGAUUUUGAAGAGGCCAUCAAUCUCGAACUACUAAUCAGAAGGAGACGAAAACAUCGAUUAUCUAAAUCCGGGAAAGAAUUAUUCGAAUUCGAUGCGUGGCCAAAAACACAUAAAUCAUCAUUCUAGAAGCAGCUUUUGAUGAUCCUCUUCCUAUAGUGAACUGCGAGGGAGAUUUUGUGAAAAGAGUUGAAUCAUUGUAUUGGAUGGGAAAUAACUCUACAAAGCUUGAAAAUGGCAGAACUCCACAUUGUUGGACUUUUUUCAGUAGUAAACAAAGUUCUUCAGGAAAACAUCCCAACAGUAACGGCAUAGAAAGUUAGAGCUGGGAUGCUUCAAGGUGUGGAAAUCGCAUUGGGGUUGCCUGAAGGCUCGAUUCCUAAACCCGUUUAUACACGUCUCAUUGACUAUUGAGACAUUGUCAAAAAAAAAAAAAAGGUAUUAGUCGUUUGCUGUGAAUUGCUUGAUGAGUUAGAAAUGAUAGAGAGGUUUGAUAUUUAUAGUGAAGUAUAAUGUUAGGGUUUUUGGCUCGAAAAUCUUGGAGCCGAAGCAAAAAAUAUUGGAUAUAUUAACUAUCA